GUGGGGAAUUUUGGACAAUGGGCGCAAGCCUGAUCCAGCAAUGCCGCGUGCAGGAAGAAGGCCUUCGGGUUGUAAACUGCUUUUGUCAGGGAAGAAAUCUUCUGGGCUAAUACCCCGGGAGGAUGACGGUACCUGAAGAAUAAGCACCGGCUAACUACGUGCCAGCAGCCGCGGUAAUACGUAGGGUGCGAGCGUUAAUCGGAAUUACUGGGCGUAAAGCGUGCGCAGGCGGUUAUGUAAGACAGAUGUGAAAUCCCCGGGCUCAACCUGGGAACUGCAUUUGUGACUGCAUGACUGUAGUGCGGCAGAGGGGGAUGGAAUUCCGCGUGUAGCAGUGAAAUGCGUAGAUAUGCGGAGGAACACCGAUGGCGAAGGCAAUCCCCUGGGCCUGCACUGACGCUCAUGCACGAAAGCGUGGGGAGCAAACAGGAUUAGAUACCCGAGUAGUCC
rnacentral:rRNA from 1 species